rnacentral:lncRNA from 1 species
AUGUUCUUGUCGCCAUUUGUGUUUUUGGUAGCUGCAAGGAAACGUACUUGGUUCUGGUGGGCUCAUCCUUACUCCCAUAUAUAUAUAACAAAAGCAGCUAUUUUUUCUGUCCAGCCUCUCCUCAUCGCCGGUAUUUCUCUGGGUCAUUUAAUAGCUUUCUAUUGUCAGUGUGCUUUCUCGGUCUUCUCUUUGAUGUCCUGUUCACCUCUUGCAGCUGAAAAAGAGAAAACGCAGCCUGGCUUUCUGGAUCGAAUUGAAUGGGAAGGGGGGGUAGAGAGAGAAAAGGGGAUCAGGGCGGUUUAAAAAGAAACAUUCCUUUUCCUCCAGUUAUGGAGGUGUCUGUCCUCUUGGCUUUUCACUUCCAUCGCACCGUAUUUGUCUUGUCACGCUAAAGGAUUUUCACAUUUGCACAGAUGUCCAGCCGGCGUGCCUACAGAUGCUUGUUGUGUGCUUUUUGAAGGUCAAAAGCCAGCCGCAUAACCUUGUAAAGUGCAUUUUGGAUCACAUUCCGCUAGUUUUUGCCACAUGUUCUAGACGAUGUUUUUUCUUGAUCUGUACUUGUUUUUCCCCACAGCGUCCCUGAAAGUACUGAUGUAGAAUUCCAGUUGCCUUCCUCACUGAGGGAUGGCGGCCGUUGUAGUCUUUAACACACAAGGGUGCCUUGUGCAGGUGGGAGCAGACAUCACUUUAGUGCACCUCUCUGGCCUCUAUUUGUGCAUUUCCAAUGUUAUAUUCAACGCUGACGGUGGAGUUUUCCUGCCACCACCUCUCCUUCAUUCAGGUUAGGCUGUGUUUAUGGUUCUCUCUCUUGCACAGAGCGCACACAUGCGCACAGAGGAGCAAGAGCACAUAUUUUCUCCUCUGACACAUAGCAAGGCAGCGCCUGUUUGUUUGGGCACUCCUGCAUACUUCAAAUUCAGUUUAAAACUUGAAUACAUUUGAGAAAGGAAGAUGCUGUCAUGGGGGCCUGUUUGACAGGCAGGUUCUCCAAAGAGGGGACGGGACUGUGAAGUUCAAGUUGAGAACCAAUCAUUCCUGUGAGCCCAAGAAAGGAUUUUCUCGACAACUGUGAGUGGGUAGAAGAAACGGGACCCCCCAGGGCAUGCUUGUAUCGCCACGCUGUGCUGGAAUGCCGUUUUUUUGCUCUGGAGAGAGACACCCCCCUCCCGCCCUUGCCGCUCUGUCUAAAGGACCUUUUCCACAAUAGUUAUAUGUUUAAAACGUUUCGCCGAGGACCAACGCUGUGGGGAGGUAGAUGCCAAACGGUAAUUAUAAAGCGCAGAAGAGCAAAAAAUAUAUUAAAAAUUGCAUUUCCACUUUGCAGCUAUAAAAAUAAAGACCAAGUUACUAAAAACUCA